rnacentral:rRNA from 1 species
CCUACGGGAGGCAGCAGUGGGGAAUAUUGGGCAAUGGAGGCAACCCUGACCCAGCAAUGCCGCGUGAAUGAAGAAGGUCUUCGGAUUGUAAAGUUCUUUAAUUGGGGACGAAAAAAAUGACGGUACCCAAGGAAUAAGCCCCGGCUAACUACGGGCCAGCAGCCGGGGUAAUACGUAGGGGGCAAGGGUUGUGCGGAAUGACUGGGAGUAAAGGUGGUGUAGGCGGGGUAGACAGUUAGAAGGGGAAUACCUCGAGCUUAACCCAGGUGCUGCUUCUAAAACUGCUAUACUUGAGUGCGGGAGAGGAAAGUGGAAUUCCUGGUGUAGCGGUGAAAUGCGUAGAUAUUAGGAGGAACAUCAGUGGCGAAGGCGACUUUCUGGACUGUAACUGACGCUGAGGCACGAAAGUGUGGGGAGCAAACAGGAUUAGAUACCCCAGUAGUC